AAAGAAGAUGUGGUGCAUACACACAAUGGAAUAUUAUUCAGUCAUAACAAAGAAUGAAAUCUUGCUGUUUGAAACAACAUGGAGGGAUCUAGAGGGUAUUAUGCUAAGUGAAAUAAGUCAGAGAUCUCACUUGUAUGUGGAAUCUAAAAAACAAACAAACAAACUACAAAUAGACUCAUAAACACAGAAAACAGACUGAUAGUUGCCAGAGGGGAGGAUGAUGCGGGGGAUGGGUGAAGUAGGUGACAGGGAUAAAGAAGUACAAAUGCCCAAUUAUUAAAUAAAUUAGUCACAGGGAUGAAAGUAGAGCAUAGGGAGUAUAGUCAAUACUAUAGUGGUAUCUUUGUAUGGUGACAGAUGAUAACUAUAUGUCUGUGGUGAGCAUUUAGUAAUGCAUAUAAUUGUUGAAUCAUUAUGUUGUACACCUGAAACCAACAUAAUAUUGUAUAUCGACUAUAUUUCAAUUGAAGAAAAAACAGUGUCAGGGCCUGAGGACAAGUGGGAGAGAGGGUGUACCCCUGUGGGCAUGCAGCCUGCCCUGGUCUGGGCCCCCGGUGUCCAUGGUAGCGGAGGGUGGAAGACAGAGACGCAUACCUGGGAGGGAAACUGCAGGACCCAGCAGAAAGUGACAAGUUAAAGGGACAGGGAGGUCUGGUAUAUUGCCUCAUGCAGAGCACUUCCCCAACUGCCCACACUGAGAUGGCGGGUCUGAGGCCUGAGAGGACAGGGCCUUGCCCCAAAUCCAUACUCUUUAGGCUGCCCCUGCCCACCUCCCCAGCCCCGACUCUCUCGUGCCUCUCCUUUCUUUCUCCACCCAGGUGCUGCUCCAGUUGCUUUCUCUCCAGCCCUUGCUGGGAGACGAUUAGGAUUAGGGAGCAUCCUGCUCGGCCAGGAGCUGGGCCCAGGCCCCCAGCAAGGCCCUCCCACCCUUCUCAGGCCAUUUCCUGCCCUCCGGGCAGCACUGUACCCCCUUCCAGGAAACCGUCACUGAAUCCUGUCGCUGUCGCAGCAACUUCUACUCCAAUCAGAUGCCACAGGAAGUGCUAGCUGAUGUGGCUCUAACCCUCCCAGAGGCAAAUGCUCUCUCCUAACCAUCUGAAAAGAAAUGUUUUCAAAGGACUGCAGCUGGACCUGUAGAAAUCUAGGCAGUGGGGCCGAUCAACUGGACAAAGGAGGGCUGCUCAAAUCUCACCGAUAGACGGCAGUAGAAGUGAGAUGGCCUGGGGCCUUUGCCGCCUGGGGGUGACUCAGCAGGGCUGGCACUGCAGGCCAUGCCCGCGGGCACCCGCGGCCCAGCUGAGGCCCCCUCUGACUGAGCUGCCCUGUGGCUCCGCGCUUCAGCAGAGUCCUUAGAGACCAAGCGCUGGCCUGGACCGCUCCGUCGGGCCCUCUUCUGUCCUGUGCCUCAGGCAUCUGUGCCAGCAGCUCAAGCUACAGAUGAGACCCUGGAGCCCUUGAGGAGGGAGAAUAAAGAGACUUAUGAUGAA